AUCAAAGUAGUCGUGAUUUCCAAACAGAAAACAAUGUUGCAAGUCAAAGACAGGAGAAGAUGACAAGUCCUCAGGCAGGGGCUGGUGUAGGAGCUGUGUAUGGCAUUGUUGUAACAUUGAAAUUUAUGAAACGUACUUCUCUGCUGUAUUUGAUGUGCUUCCUUUGACCUGACCCCAGCACUGUGUGUAGAAGGCGGCUGCAAGUGUAUCUAAGGUCUAGAAGAGGAAGAUCUCUCCUUGGCGUGUCCUGUGGAUCCUUUCCAACUGCAGAGCUGCUGCAGAACAUCAGCUAGUCUGUCAUUCCUUCUUUGUUUCUAAGCCUGCAAAAUGGGCGUGAAAAUGAAAAGAUGGGAAAUCCAGUGUAUCGUGCAAAGUUCAUCAUUUCAAAGGAACAUACGUUGAAAAGGCAAUAUAUCCAUAUCUCACCAGAAUAAAUAAAACAUAAGAAACAGUAGAGUUUCUGGGCCUUAACAGUCAGCAUGGCGUCUGGGUGAGAGACCUACAUGUUUAGAUCUCUGAGUAAACGCCUGAUUUUCAGCACGUGUGCAUUCUGCUAGGUUUUAGGCAACGCCUUCUCUUCUAGCAGAGGAGCUUCUGAUUUUCUAAAAGUAUUAAGAUCAUGAAAAACAAG